AUGCCCUCCUGCUGUUGCUGCUGCUUCCACUCGGCGAAGACGUCGUCCGCCCUGAGGCGGCGGUCGGCGGCGAUGGUGUCGGAGACGGCGAGGGUGAGGUUAGCGGUGAAGUCGCAGUGGGUGAGGGUGUAAGCUCUGGGGAACCCGGAGCUGCUGUUCCCGUGGCUGUGGGCGAACUCUACCGUCAGCUUGCCGGCAUCGAAGCUGGU
rnacentral:misc_RNA from 1 species